rnacentral:rRNA from 1 species
GAUGAACGCUGGCGGCGUGCCUAAUACAUGCAAGUCGAGCGAACGGACGAGAAGCUUGCUUCUCUGAUGUUAGCGGCGGACGGGUGAGUAAUACGUGGAUAACCUACCUAUAAGACUGGGAUAACUUCGGGAAACCGGAGCUAAUACCGGCUAAUAUUUUGAACCGCAUGGUUCAAAAGUGAAAGACGGUCUUGCUGUCACUUAUAGAUGGAUCCGCGCUGCAUUAGCUAGUUGGUAAGGUAACGGCUUACCAAGGCAACGAUGCAUAGCCGACCUGAGAGGGUGAUCGGCCACACUGGAACUGAGACACGGUCCAGACUCCUACGGGAGGCAGCAGUAGGGAAUCUUCCGCAAUGGGCGAAAGCCUGACGGAGCAACGCCGCGUGAGUGAUGAAGGUCUUCGGAUCGUAAAACUCUGUUAUUAGGGAAGAACAUAUGUGUAAGUAACUGUGCACAUCUUGACGGUACCUAAUCAGAAAGCCACGGCUAACUACGUG